GAUGAAGAACGUAGCGAAAUGCGAUACGUAAUGUGAAUUGCAAAUUCAGUGAAUCAUCGAGUCUUUGAACGCACAUUGCGCCCCCUGGUAUUCCGGGGGGCAUGCCUGUCCGAGCGUCAUUGCUGCCCUCAAGCACGGCUUGUGUGUUGGGCCCCGUCCUCCGAUCCCGGGGGACGGGCCCGAAAGGCAGCGGCGGCACCGCGUCCGGUCCUCGAGCGUAUGGGGCUUUGUCACCCGCUCUGUAGGCCCGGCCGGCGCUUGCCGAUCAACCCAAAUUUUUAUCCAGGUUGACCUCGGAUCAGGUAGGGAUACCCGCUGAACGUAAGCAUAUCAAUAAGCGGAGGA
rnacentral:misc_RNA from 1 species